GGACUACAGGGGUAUCUAAUCCUGUUUGCUCCCCACGCUUUCGCGUCUCAGCGUCAAUAUCGGUCCAGGCAGCCGCCUUCGCCACCGGUGUUCCUCCUAAUAUCUACGGAUUUCACUCCUACACUAGGAAUUCCACUGCCCUCUCCCGUAUUCAAGUCUCCCAGUAUCCAAUGCACUUCCCAGGUUGAGCCCGGGGCUUUCACAUCAGACUUAAAAGACCGCCUACACGCGCUUUACGCCCAAUAAUUCCGAACAACGCUCGCACCCUCCGUAUUACCGCGGCUGCUGGCAC
rnacentral:rRNA from 1 species